rnacentral:misc_RNA from 1 species
UUUCCGUAGGUGAACCUGCGGAAGGAUCAUUACUGAGUUUUGGGUGUUCUCUUUUGACGCCCGAUCUCCCACCCUUUGUUUAACUACAAUUGUUGCUUUGGCAGGACUGUUUUCUUCUCUUCGGGGGAGGGACUGCCGGAGGUUGGGUUUCCGACCUCUGGAUUGUUUGCCUGCCAGUAGCCAACUUCAAAUUCUUUUUUAAUUAUGUCGUCUGAAUUCUUUAAAUAAAUUUUAUUUAAAACUUUCAACAACGGAUCUCUUGGUUCUGGCAUCGAUGAAGAACGCAGC